rnacentral:lncRNA from 1 species
UUUAGAUGGAGGAAGGAGGGUUGGACGAAGAUGCAAAGGGUUUUAUUACGAUUAGGUUAGUGCGAUAUUGAUUGGUUAGUUUAUGAUUAUUCACCUUUUUUUAUUUUUUUUAUUUAGGUAAUUGGGUUGUUUAUGUUAUAAAACCGCGAACACAUUUUAAGAUUUGAGAACGUUUUGAAAAUGAAUAGAAAGGAAGGUAAAAAUUUACGUGAUUUGGUCAAACCGAUCUACUCCACGGAUUGCUGAGCUCUUAUAAUUUUGAAGUGCUAUUAUGUUCAUGUUGUUCUC